AAGGGAAUCUUCCGCAAUGGACGAAAGUCUGACGGAGCAACGCCGCGUGAGUGAAGAAGGAUUUCGGUUCGUAAAACUCUGUUGUUAGGGAAGAAAAAAUGUAUAGUAACUAUAUACAAAAGAGACGGUACCUAACCAGAAAGCCACGGCUAACUACGUGCCAGCAGCCGCGGUAAUACGUAGGUGGCAAGCGUUGUCCGGAAUUAUUGGGCGUAAAGCGCGCGCAGGUGGUUUAGAAAGUCUGAUGUGAAAGCCCACGGCUCAACCGUGGAGGGUCAUUGGAAACUAAUAAACUUGAGUGCAGGAGAGAAAAGUGGAAUUCCUAGUGUAGCGGUGAAAUGCGUAGAGAUUAGGAGGAACACCGGUGGCGAAAGCGGCUUUUUGGCCUGCAACUGACACUGAGGCGCGAAAGCGUGGGGAGCAAACAGG
rnacentral:rRNA from 1 species